UCGGGAAUUUUGGGCAAUGGGCGAAAGCCUGACCCAGCAACGCCGCGUGAGGGAUGAAGUAUUUCGGUAUGUAAACCUCGAAAGAAUGGGAAGAAUAAAUGACGGUACCAUUUAUAAGCUCCGGCUAACUACGUGCCAGCAGCCGCGGUAAUACGUAGGGAGCAAGCGUUGUUCGGAUUUACUGGGCGUAAAGGGCGCGUAGGCGGCGCGGUAAGUCACUUGUGAAAUCUCUGAGCUUAACUCAGAACGGCCAAGUGAUACUGCUGUGCUAGAGUGCUGAAGAGGCAACCGGAAUUCUUGGUGUAGCGGUGAAAUGCGUAGAUAUCAAGAGGAACACCUGAGGCGAAGGCGGGUUGCUGGGCCGACACUGACGCUGAUGCGCGAAAGCCAGGGGAGCAAACG
rnacentral:rRNA from 1 species